UAUCUGCUUUUUAAGAAUUACAUUUAAAACCAAAUGAGAAAAAGUGUUUAGUGAUUAUGCUUCAAAGCUGAACCUGCCAAAAGCGCAGGACAGUGAAAAUAGUUUAAUUUUAGCAAUGAGUUCACUUAAAAGAAACACGUCUUUCAAAUGUGAUACACAGAUUUGAGCACAGGACCAAGGAAAUUGGAGGAAAUUAACAAACAUGCAACUCUUCACAGCAGAUGCUCGGGGUUCUUUGCAAUGAAACUACACAAGUUAAAUUUGCAAUGUUGUUAUCCUGUAAUUUGCAAAAUGACAAAAUGCUAGUCUGAUGCACUAAGCACCUUCAAUUGCAGCUCAUUAACUCAGUCAGGGGGAACCAUUUUACAGGCAUGGAGAAAAACUAUUAGAAUACUUCUAUUAAAUGGAAGAAUAAAUAUCCGGUUGAAGCACAAUGUGUCUUCAUUUUGGCCCAAAUGUGAUAUAUGCCGUUGCCAUGGUAAUGUGGCGAUUGCUACAGCCCUCCUCCCAGCUGUUGGUGGGUUUUGUGUGCAGGAGGGCGAGGGUAAAAAGAAAGAGGGAGACUGUGUGUUUGUGUGCGUGCACACAUGCAUUGAUGCCGCCUCCGUGCUGUGUUCCCCUUUCAGCCCUCAGAAUAGUGUCUCUACUAAUCCGUGAAAGUUGCGGCGCUCUGAACUAGUGGCCAAGGCUUUUCCCACUGAACGAAGGCCCAGGGUCCGCGCUCGACUUCACACUUGAUUGGUCCCUCCUGCGGCAGACCUCUCCUCCCCACUAGGCGUGGGCCAGUCCCCCUCGCCGGUCUCCCCCGGCACUGCUGAGUUGCCUCUCCUCACCUUAAUUAUCAAUGCUUGAGUCGCGGACUCACCAACAAACCAUUAAAGUCUGGCCAGCCUAACCUCACAAGCCCCAACACAUCCAACACUUAGCACCUUCACGGUGCUGAAGAUCAGCACCAACUCCACCAACUGAGCACCUGUUUGUGCCUGGGAUGCCCCGCAGCACUGCUGUUGGUGCAGGCCGGUAUAAAAAGCAGGAAUUGGCAGCUGUGCUGUUGUCCUGCUCCUCCUGCAGUGGAGGUGAUGUGUUUAUUUGACCUGCAUUGAGAUGAUGAGACAUGCCUAUCUCCUUGUUUUGUUCUAUGAAAAGAACUGAGUUCUUUGAUAAAUGACCCCUUCAAACCUGCACUGAGCUUUGGGAAUAACCUGAGUUGAUGUGUAAACAACUCGGAACCGACCCUGCACUUCCGUUUUCAAACUUUGUACAUGUUUUCAGAAAGUGACAUAAAUGUGGAGCUGUGAUCCUGUUCCAUAGCGUAAAUUUAGAACUAGAACAAGCCAAUUUUCUAUUUUGGUGUGCCUACUAAGUUUAAGACUGCUGCAGAAAUAGUCAGACCAUAUGGGAGUGAGCAGGUGAAAUGCAAUGACCUGGCAAAUGGUCCAGAAACUGAUGAGAGUCGAAUACACGUCAGAAGGCACUGGGUGUGCUGGCACAAACUUUACCCAGGAUGUGGAUCAGACAAACACCCAGCAUUCGUUAGUUUAUUGCUCUCUUAUUAGGAACAUUUUUUGCCUUGCACGGAUUGGCAGAGUCCCACUAGCCACCCUCUUCACAUGGCCCGGGCUCUGUCAGGACUGAUCAAAAGACGUUUCUUCACAUCUCCAGACGCCAGGGAAAAAGGAGAAGAAAAGAGGGAGAGAAGAAAAGAGCCAGAAGGGGGCAUACUGCUCUCUCUUUACUCUGGUCUUUUGGUGAAUGAGGACUUUUCACAAUACCCUCUCCCUUCUCUUUUUUUCUUUUUUCAUUCUUUCACUGGCAAAAAAAGAGAGAAAGAAAUAGCAUUUCCCAAUGCGUUUGCGCCAAAUUGUUCUUGCCAUAUCAAAAACAAUUAUCCUCAGGUUAAGAAUGUGCCUGCAGAAUUACAACCGUUCCAGGGAGAGAAAGCAGUCUUCACAAAUUUGACUGGCUUCCAGGCAGCCAAGACCCCCUCGAAGUGGUAAUGAAAAGUGUAACUUUAGCCUCCCAGCUGUACGUCUCAAUCCAUAAUCCUUCCCCAAAAACCUCACCGUAGAGCCGCCUACCACUCCCAUGGCGUUCCCAGCCUUUGCCGGGCUGGGCCUGCACUGAUUUAUGUGGCAGUCCUGAGUCAUACUCUCAACCUGAAAAGGAUUUGCUCUCCUAUAUUUACAGGGGUAGUCAGGCCGGCUCUCUUGAAAUACAGAAAGCCCUGUCUCCGGGCCUCAGUCCCCAUGGUCUUUUCCCCUUCUCUGCUUCAGUAACAAGGACAUCUGGGACCUUACAAGAAUCAGCCGAGACUCCAGUGUUUUUAUGAUGGAGUCUUUCUGCAGAGGAGUGGUCAGAGUCCAUGCACUCGCUCCUUGCAGCCACAUGGCCACGUUGUGGUAUGCAGAUACCCAGACACAGCUCCACUACCACAGUGGCUCAGACCACCUCCGAGGUUUCAUUAUCAUCGCUGGGACUCACUAAUGGCUUGACGGCUUCACUGAGCGGGCAGCUGGAGAGGAGAAUCCAGGGAAGACGGAAAAGAAGAAGAAGCAAAGGGAGGAGAAUAGGGGCACAAGGAAAUGGGGGAAUGAGGGGAAUGAGACGUGGAGGACAAAGAGGUUAACAUGAGGGACAAUACGAUGAAGUCCAACUGCUUCCUUGAAAAUCAGCAGAGACUGAAGGAGGAUGAAGCAACAGGGCAAAAGUAAUGUCAAAGAGCCGAUCAGGAGAUCCAACAGAGUGCUCUCUGCAUGGCUGGGUGACCAUGCCUGAAAAAUGUUUGAAGUGUAUAAAUCCACCUCCCAUACAUCCACAUCUCCACCUUGUCUGUUUGCAACAGCUAACCUCACAACAUGCAGACGGACCGGGGGAGGGAAUUCAGCUUCACUUUUUUCUUUCCAGACAAAUGACACCCUGACAGUUGGAAAAAUGUUGGGGUCCCUGAACAGAUUUCUCAGUUAUAAAAAUAAAAUGUGUUGGAUUAGACAAAGACAGACAUUUUAUAUUCUACUUUUGAACCCCAACGAGAGCACUGACAAAUGCCACCCUACCCCCACUCCGUCUGUGCCAUAAUUGUUGUUUUUUUUCCUUCUCUCUCUCCAGAAAUGUCAUAUAGUUAAGAGGUGAUAAAUCUAUAUGGCAUAAACAGACA